CAUUCUCUUUUAUAAAUAUUUAUAUUUCAAUGCUACUUACUUCUUGUCCCCUAUAAUAUCACAUAUCUUAUCAUUUGAUAUAGCUGAACACUGUGGUGCCUGUGCUAUUUUCUGAAAAACAGUUUAUUAUAUAAAUGUGGUAGAGAAGCAGCUUCAAAAUGGAAUAGUUAGAUUCUAUGUUGUGUCAUAAUGUUGUAUUUAUUUCAGAACAAGCCACUCCCAUUUCACCAUCUUAGCAUAUCUUUCAAUAGAAAGCUUAGAGGAAGUGUAUGUAUGGCUGUGAAACAGAACACACAGAGAAUGACUGCAUUACACUCAGUACAAACCAAAACCUGAUAUUAUCUCCUGAAUUGCAUUCGCUCAAAGAACACUUAAAUUUAGCAAAAGCUUUCCAGGGAAAGAUAGCUUCUUUGCGGAUAUGUUACGGGUUGCAAAACAAUAGCAGCUGGGAAAAAAAAAAAAAAAAAUAUAUGCAGCCUGCAGAAGCCAGUAUAAGUCAAUUCCUGAUAAGAUCCUCAGAGAAGAGCAGAUCUGCACCAAUAACAAGUGAGUCACACCACUGAGAAUGGAGCAUGUUCUGGUCUGUUGUAUCCAAGGAAAUUCACCUCACACCUCUUUGGCUACCUAAGUUCAGGAUCUACCCUAGCUGGCUGUCUAGGUUCCUUAGAGUCAAAGGCAACCUUUGUAGCUGAGCAACCGUAAUAAAUAAAUAAAUAAAUAAAUAAAUAAAUAAAUA
rnacentral:lncRNA from 1 species